rnacentral:tRNA from 1 species
GGCCUCGUAGCUCAGUUGGCAAGAGCGUUGGCUGUACUAAAUCUUUCCCCUUGUUGGCGUGGGUUCGAAUUCCACCGAAGCAA